UUAACUUAUUAUGUUUUACUCAGACGACAUUAAUAUUCAGAGUUUUAUUUCCCCUGGCAGGCGCUUACCAGCCGGAGCCGGUAGUCGAGCCGAAGCCUGACGGCCUGCCAAAGCAACAAAGGUAUAAAUACACAGGGUGGGAGAUCUACCCCGAAGGGCAUGAACUCUGUAAUGAUCCUUCCGCAGGUUCACCUACGGAAA
rnacentral:misc_RNA from 1 species